rnacentral:rRNA from 1 species
UACGGGGGGGGCAAGCGUUGUUCGGAAUUACUGGGCGUAAAGGGCUCGUAGGCGGCCAACUAAGUCAUACGUGAAAUCCCUCGGCUUAACCGGGGAACUGCGUCUGAUACUGGAUGGCUUGAGUUCGGGAGAGGGAUGCGGAAUUCCAGGUGUAGCGGUGAAAUGCGUAGGUAUCUGGAGGAACACCGGUGGCGAAGGCGGCAUCCUGGACCGAUACUGACGCUGAGGAGCGAAAGCGUGGGGAGCGAACAGG